UUCUACAGCCAUAAAAAUAGCUUACAAGGCCUGUUUAGUACUUGGCUAGGAGACUGCCUGGGAAUUCCAGGUGCUGUAGGCU